rnacentral:rRNA from 1 species
AUUGAACGCUGGCGGAAUGCUUUACACAUGCAAGUCGAACGGCAGCACGGGGCAACCUGGUGGCGAGUGGCGAACGGGUGAGUAAUACAUCGGAACGUGCCCAAUCGUGGGGGAUAACGUAGCGAAAGUUACGCUAAUACCGCAUACGAUCUACGGAUGAAAGCGGGGGAUCGCAAGACCUCGCGCGAAUGGAGCGGCCGAUGUCAGAUUAGGUAGUUGGUGGGGUAAAGGCUCACCAAGCCAACGAUCUGUAGCUGGUCUGAGAGGACGACCAGCCACACUGGAACUGAGACACGGUCCAGACUCCUACGGAGGCAGCAGUGGGGAAUUUUGGACAAUGGGCGCAAGCCUGAUCCAGCAAUGCCGCGUGC